GGGAGCAGGUAGGAGGGCACUGAGGAGGGAGCAGGAGCAGGAGGCCUGCAUCUCAGGCCCUCUUUUGCUACAACAGAUCACCUACCCUCUCUCGGCCUCAAGUGCCCAAGGGCAGGCUGCACUGGAAUGACGAAUUCCCAAGGCUCUGGCAUCACAAACGCUGACAUCCCCUCCUUCACAGAGCUCCCUUUCCAUAUGCCUGCUUCUGCUGAGACCUCUUGCUCAGAGGCACACGCGGAGGCUCACAUUCCUACUCUCUCAUCCUUGGUGCCUUCAGCAGCCUCCUCAGCUGGGGCUUCAGUCCCACCUUGCAGACGACAAAUUGAGACCCAAGAGGAGAAGUAACUCAGCCACAGUCACACCACAGGUCUUGCAAGCCCUCGCUGACUGCCCUGAAGUCUUCUUCUAAACACUGAGAUCCUCAAGGGCAGGGCCAGGCCCCCACUUAUUUAACACUGGUUCAUUAAGCACCUUCUGUAUGUUAGACACUGCACUGGGACCAGGGUCUCCACCCCCUGAGCCACCCACCAGCCACAACCCAUGCCACACAACAGGGCCCACUGAAGUCUUUGUGGCCAGAGAAAGCAACCCAGGCACUGACCCACCAACACUUGUGAGCACCAACUGCAGGCCAGGCCUUCACUAGGUCCCAGGGAUAUGCAACCUGGGAGCUGAGAAGGCAAGCAGACCCCCAGGCCUAUGUGGGACCAGCCCCACGGGAAGGGGUGGGAAGAGGAGAUGUCAUGCCAUCGUGGCAGCCCCAUGGGCAGCCUGGCACACAGAUGUACCUGGCAGGGUGUCUAUGGAAUGAGAAAAUACACAGCUCUGUCCCUGGGAGAGUGCCUGGACCCUGGGACUGAGGGGCAUGGGUUCCAGUCCCUCCCAGUGCCUCAAACCUCCUGUCUAUAUAAUGAAGCUGAUGCCACAUUCCAUACUAGCAGACCAUUAGGAAAUUAAAUCAGCUGACAGAGAGCUGAUCGCUCAGCCAGUGACCAGCCAAGGUACCAGUCCUGACUGUACCCCCAGACCCCCUAGAAAACCUGCUACCUUGGCCCACCUACCCUACCCCACCCCAAGACUCCUCUGAAAUCUUUAGGCUCCCUGCCUGGCCCAUCACCCAGUAUCUAGCCAGCCUUCUUUCAUCCUCAGUCUUAGCUGUCUCUCCAUAAUGCUGCCAAUUCCCCAGUGCAGCAGUCCCAUGGGACUGAGCCCACAUCCACUACAGCCUCCCAGGGGCUGACCCAGCCCCACUCCUCCUGCUGCCCACAAACUGCCUCCCUCCCAGACCUUCCUCCAUGCAAGCCCAUGGCAGGGCUCCAGGAGUGGCCCCAGUGGAGAGGCAGGUGUACCCAUGUGUCACAGCAAAGCCCUGUCAGGGACACAGCAGUGGACAUCAGCUGCACCUCUCAGAGGCUUGGCCCAGCCCAGCAGCACUGGGCCUGGGAGCAGCAGGACUGAGGGCAGACAUCAGGUGGCCUGAGAGGAGGCACCACAACCUUCAGUUUGGGACUGAGCAAGGGCCACAGAGGUUGCCAGGAGUGAUGACGCAGUCACUUUCACCUGAGACGUACACCAAGGCUUCCGGGUGCCACAAUUAGUACUGCCAACUAUGGCCCAGGACACUGGAAGCCUAGCCAGGCCAGAGGAAACUGCCCACAGGCAGACCGGGUCCCAGUGCUGCAGGGUGCUGCUGUCCCUGUUACUGUCAUAACUAUUGUCGUUGCUGUCAUUAUUUCAUUGACACAGAAGCAGUUGAAGUGCCUUGUCCUGCUUUGGGCAGAUUUGAAGGAUGGGGCACAAUGACCCUGGGACAGGAGGCCUGUCAGCAGAGAGCUAAGUGGAAGCUUCUGCUCAAACCCCUGGCUUGCUAUGUGGCUUUCAGCAAGGCCCUGCUCCUCUCUGGGCACCUGUUCCUCCCAGCACAGCACAGCUCCCUGAAUAUCCCUCCACCAGACACUCAUCUGAAAGGGUGCCCUCCUGAGCAGCCUGGAAGCCCUAUGGGAAUCCAACAUGGCAGUUGGGCAUGGGUUGGGGUCCAGGGACAGGCUGACAAACUCAGGUUCUGUCCCCUUCCCAAGACAAGGGUCAUUCCCUUCAAGCUGGGGAAGGGGCUCUGCUGUGCCCUCACCUGGAGAGGAGGAAAAGGAGGUGGUUGGGGACUUAGGGCCUGUCUCUGCCAGGUCUGGGUUAACACCCAGCAUGAAGGGUAUCCACUGUGUAUACUCAACAGUGCACCAGUGGAAAAGUUUCCAUUACCCAGCAAAAUGGAAACCCCUUUCUUGUCCCUAGGUGUGCUUAAGUGAGCCCUUACCCUUCUGCACCCUGCUCUCUCCCAGGGGUCUUGACCCUACCUGAUGGGAGCCUUUCCAAAGUACCUCUCUUGGAGCUGCCAACCUCUGAUCCCCUGGUUGAAAGGAAGGGAUCACCAGAAAGCUGUGGGAAGACUAUGCAGAGGAGUCUCUUAGGACCCAGGAAGGGGGUUGAGGGCAGGGUUUAUUCUAUCAUAAGCCUCCCACGACAGUACCCAUGGUUGAGAUCUCCUACCUGACCCUCUGUGGCCACAUGGCAGCAGUCUAGAGUCUGGAGCAACAUAGCACAAGGGGAAGCUGGAGUUGGGGCAGGGCAGUAGUGGGGUGGGGGGUAGGCCAGAAGGCUAGUGCCUCCUAGGCUCACACCUUCAAGGAGGAGGCUAUUGAUUUCAGCUACCAAAGGGUGCCUCUGUGCUUCAGAGAGACAGAACCUAUAAACCAGGGUUUCAGGAUGUGGAUUUGGAUGGAAGGGGUUCCCCAGCACUUUAUUCCAGGGCUCCAGCCUGAGCACAGGGAAUAAAUAAGAAAGUAGAAAUAGUCACAGACAGCACUCCAGGAUGGUCAUGUCCCCUAGAAAAUGGGGAGCAGGUAGCCCCAGGUCCCAGCAAGUCCAGGCUGUGGAGAGGCAGAAGAACCUCUUAGAACUGAAGCCCACCUCCAAAGAAACACUUUCCUGUGACCUCCCAUUCUGAGCACAGGUUUUAAAGUAUUCCCAUGAAGUGUGCACAUUCCAUCUGAACAAGCACCAGACACCCCUUUGGGCCUCAGCUCCGUUCUGAAGUCUCCCCAGGAGCUCCCCACCCAGUUGC